UUAUUUUUUUUAUACGCGAAGUAAAUGUAUUCUUAGGAGGUGGUAGGAAAGAUUCAGGUUGUGUAGGGUCAUUAAAAUCGCGCAAAGGUAUCUCAAUGUGAUUUACGUUUGUACCUUGCUUAUUAAGUUGGUUGGCCUUACUUUCACUUCCUAAAGGACUAUUCUCUAUUCUUGUAUCAGCAAGGAAUGGAUUGGUAGAAUUUUGGCCUGAAGAAGAUAUAUAUUGGCUUUCAGAGCCAAAAAUAUCUUCGAAUUCAUCUUCACCCAGAAAAGGAUUGUCUAACGUUCUACCAACCAUCGAUUCUCCGGCAAAUUCAUCCUCGUCUUCAUCUCGUGAUAUCCUUUUAGCAUUUUGCUUAUUAUCUACAUCUCGGGCCAUUGAUAUUUACAAGAUAUUAACAAUGCAAAUGAUAUGCGCAGAAAAAGCAAAGAUAGGACGU